rnacentral:rRNA from 1 species
UACGUAGGGUGCAAGCGUUAUCCGGAAUUAUUGGGCGUAAAGAGCUCGUAGGCGGUUUGUCACGUCUGCUGUGAAAACUGGAGGCUCAACCUCCAGCCUGCAGUGGGUACGGGCAGACUAGAGUGCGGUAGGGGAGAUUGGAAUUCCUGGUGUAGCGGUGGAAUGCGCAGAUAUCAGGAGGAACACCGAUGGUGUAGACGGCUCACUGGACCGUAACUGACGCUGAGGUGCGAAAGCGUGGGGAGCAAACAGG